GACGAACGCUGGCGGCGUGCUUAACACAUGCAAGUCGAACGGAAAGGCCCUGCUUUUGUGGGGCGCUCGAGUGGCGAACGGGUGAGUAACACGUGAGUAACCUGCCCUUGACUUUGGGAUAACUUCAGGAAACUGGGGCUAAUACCGGAUAGGAGCUCCUGCUGCAUGGUGGGGGUUGGAAAGUUUCGGCGGUUGGGGAUGGACUCGCGGCUUAUCAGCUUGUUAGUGGGGUAGUGGCUUACCAAGGCUUUGACGGGUAGCCGGCCUGAGAGGGUGACCGGCCACAUUGGGACUGAGAUACGGCCCAGACUCCUACGGGAGGCAGCAGUGGGGAAUAUUGCACAAUGGGCGGAAGCCUGAUGCAGCAACGCCGCGUGCGGGAUGACGGCCUUCGGGUUGUAAACCGCUUUCGCCUGUGACGAAGCGUGAGUGACGGUAAUGGGUAAAGAAGCACCGGCUAACUACGUG
rnacentral:rRNA from 1 species